AUUUCAGAGACGCCAUAACAGCAGGACCAUGUGGACGGCAGGAUGGUUUGGUCGCUAAUUUGGUGAGAAAAUUCAUCGAUGUGAAGCCAUGGGGACAUCAACAGUAAGUUUCUGCAGUCUAACAGUCUAAGUAAAAGUGCCCUCUCAGUGUACAGUAGCAGCAAGUUAUAUCAACAAAGCAAGACCUGAUCAUGCAGCAGAGCCAUAGCACCUGUGCCCGCCAUCACUUCACUGGCCACACAGCCCCCAGCGCUGGAGCUGGAGAGCCUGCUCGGCAGGGCCUUGGUCAGGUGGGUCUCCGGAGGGUCGGGGCAUCCUGAACAUCAACCAACAAGACACCAUUCAGUAUUGUGUCCUUCAGUUACAGCUGUGACAGAGCAUGCUGCAAUCUACAACAAAGCAGUCGUGAGAUUACAUAUAAAAAACGAGGUAUUUUAAAUAUAAAAUAUAUACCGAUGAGCAUAAAUCCAGUCCAAACUUUGGAGAGUGGAGUAUGAGACACUUGAAUUAGCAAGAAGCUCAUUUAAAUUGAAUCUGUGGGAAGGUUAGACAGUAAAAACAACCUCCUCUGUUCAUGAAACAGUGAAUGUGUGUCCUAGUUUUACAGUGAAAAUGUGAUUCACCGAUAAUUAAAUCUGAAAACAACAAUCUUGUUUUACACCAA